UGGGUUGAGGUAAGUGCGGGAUGGAUGAAAUUGCUCAGUACCAUCUAAUCUGGCAAUCCCGAUUAUGAUCGGUUCAACUAUUUUGUGGUUCCACUUCUACUAAUUGAAGCCAGCGAGUUGGUGUAUGCUUGAAGUGAGUCUGGUUCUUGCUUCAAUUCCCCCUGUUUCACCUCCAGAUCUACUCAUCGGGAGAUGGAUUCCUUGCAUUGAGAGGCUGGUCUGACGCUGUUGUUGAUAAUCAUCCAUACCUAUGCUGGACGUGGACGAAGUACACACAUGUACACGCAGCUUUUUUUUGAUCCGUUGCAUAUCAAAGCUUCAUUCAGACGAUGGACUGUCUUGCUCUACUUCGAAAUCGAAACAGGUGAGUCGUGUCCUUUUUAGGAUUGAACCAACUGAAGUGAAACCAAGAUACAGUUUCUGCAGCACUUAUGAGCAAAUUGUACAGGGGAAAGACAGGCGGCUGCUGCAGAACAAGGGAAGGAGUAGCAGCUAUCUGCUGUUUCAGUUGUUUAUGUGCGCUGAAGAUUGUUCGCACCCGUACCCUGAAGAAAGAAGGAAAAAUAAUCCAUAACUAUUUCUUGAUAAUAAAGUUCAUAGACAUAGAUAUAUAGCUCAUUGGCUCCAUCACGUUAGUUUGCUAAAUAAGUUAUAUGGAUCCUUGCAGACACAAGAUAGAUUCUAGAUAUACCUGGGAUAUGUUCAUCCGGGUUCAGUUAAUAAGUGCAUUAGUCAACAUUGUGGUGCAAUGACAGAAUCUGUUGUCCACAACUUCACCUGCCAUAUCCUUAAGGGUCUUGAUUUCCUAUAGAGCCAAAAAAGUAUGCAUAGAUCUGGAAAUAGGUUUAAAGGAAAGAUUUAGAAGUAACUGUGGUGAUCCAGGACGCUUUCAAGAUUACAAGUUCAAUAGUGGCAACUUGAACUUAUGUAAGAAUAAACAUGAUGAUUUUUCAUUCUGAAGAGUUUCCUAACUGUUGACUUUAAGCCUUCAUAGUUACAUCGUGGGAUUAUGAAUAAGAUGGUGCUAAUUAUAUUUUGA